GAUGAACGCUGGCGGCGUGCUUAACACAUGCAAGUCGAACGGAAAGGCCCAAGCUUGCUUGGGUACUCGAGUGGCGAACGGGUGAGUAACACGUGGGUGAUCUGCCCUGCACUUCGGGAUAAGCCUGGGAAACUGGGUCUAAUACCGGAUCGGACCACUUCUUGGAUGUUGUGGUGGAAAGUUUUUUCGGUGUGGGGUGAGCUCGCGGCCUAUCGGCUUGUUGGCGGGGUAAUGGCCUACCAAGGCGUCGACGGGUAGCCGGCCUGAGAGGGUGUACGGCGACAUUGGGACUGAGGUACGGCACAGGCUCCUACGGGAGGCAGCAGUGGGGAAUAUUGCACAAUGGGCGCAAGCCGGAUGCAGCGACGCCGCGUGGGGGAUGACGGCCUUCGGGUUGUAAACUCCUUUCGCUAGGGACGAAGCGUUUUGUGACGGUACCUGGAGAAGAAGCACCGGCUAACUACGUG
rnacentral:rRNA from 1 species